ACCUCUGGCAUGGCCUUCUUUGAGAUACAUGAAGAACAGGGUGGAGCUCAUGGCCAGCUACUACAUGACCAGUAAGAUGCUGUUUCCAGUCCAUAGGGACUAGAAGGGUGUGUUUAAAAUAUCUCAUCGUUCUUUUCCAUUGGAAAAAAAAUAGCUUGGGCUGUGUGCCGCAUGUCUGUGUGUAAUAUAUACACUUGAUGCCAAGAAAACCUAGGGUUUUACUGUUAGGAAUAUGGUAUGCAAUAUCACAUUCGCACAUAUUUGCUUACUUUUUCACAGCUUACUCUUGAUGCCUAGAGCCAGGUUUUGAAGGAACUUGGAAGUUUUUGUAAGAGAGGGAGGAAGGAAGGAAGGCACGUGGCAUGGCUUUGCGGGUUGAGGAGACGAAAGAGUAGGAGAUGUAGGAAAGGGACUGAGCCGAGCCCUGGAUCUUCACUCCCCAGGCUAUUGGGGAAAGCUUUUUGCUUGCAUCUACGUUAUCUGCAUGCUUGCAAACUUAUCCCCACAUUCAUUAGCAAUGGAAGCAUUAUUUUCAAGGCGAUAAAGCAGGCCUAGAAAGGUGGCAGCUUUGAGGAUAUUGAGCCCUGUAGCUGAGAACUGAUUUAGUGAUCUUAAGGCAAUCUUGUGGGAAUGUGUAAUAGCUAUGUUGUUGUUUUCACUCUAGCGUCUUGUACUGCCAACUGUAGAAAGAACAUAUGCUCUAUAAGCUUCAAGCCCUGUGUGUGUGCCCAUGAACUUCUUUCUUUCUUUCUUUCUUUCUUUCUUUCUUUCUUUCUUUCUCUCUCUCUCCCCCUGUCUGUCUGUCUGUCCGUCUCCCUUCCUCCCUCUCUCUCUCUUUUUUCCCUUAGCCUUCCCCAGCCUGGCACCCUCCAUAUGAUGGAGCUAUAACUCCCAUCAGCCCCAAAUGGUACAGUUUGGGAGGGCUGCUCUUUUCAUGAGACUGCUGCAACUCCUCCCAGAUCUACAAUUCCCAGAGUUCCCUAUUAAGAGGCAUUGGUUUUUAAAACCACUCUGGAAACCGUAGUUCCAGAAAGUGAAUAGGGAUCUCGUAACAACCCUCAACAAACUAUAGCUCACACAUUUGGGGGGGGUGCUAGUGUGGGUGGAGGGAGCCUGGCUGUUCAAAGCUGUUAAAUGUGUUGUUUCAACAUGGCCUUAGUACUGAAGCCAAAAUGUCUGCAUUGGUCAAAAGGGCAUAUAUAAUCUUAGAAAGGGCCUGGCUGUGGAGGGCUGUAAUGAAGAGCACCUACAUUAUAGGAUUUACCUCUACAUCCCUGGUGGUGGGACUGGGAGGAACUGACUAAAACAACUAUUUGGAAUCUAAAGGAGGAGUGAAAAUGCUGCAAGGUGCUUAUUGUGCUGUGUGAAUGGACUGCAAGGCAAAGGAUAACAUUCACUUAGUAUGGAUAAAUGUAAAGUGAUGGACCUGUGAGAGAAAUGUUCAAUUGCUUAUCGGUCAUUCCAGACUAAACAGUUCAGGGAAAAGAUGUGGACAUCUUUGUAGACCACUUAAUGUACCUCAUUACUAGGCUUCAGUCUCAGAAGAAAUGAGAUAUUUGGCCGUCGUGCGAAAAGGCUGGAAACAAAUAACACAAGUUAAACACCGCGAUGAAUCACUUUCUUUGCCCUUCUUUGGUCUCCUCCGACUGCCUUGACUCCCAACUGCCGAAUUGGAGGGUUGUGGGGUUUUUGAAGGCCCAAAUAAGUGUGUUGCGAAGAGGCUGACAGGAAUGGAAUAGUUCACAUUAGUGAAGAAGCUAAUGUGGGAAGACACUGGCGUUUAACGUGAUGGAUGACACAGAGAAGGCAGAUUGGGAGCGGUUUUGCUAGUGCCUUCCUGAUAAUGCAAGAACAGAAACACAUUCAAUGACAUUGAAAGUUGGCAGAUUAUAUAUAAAAAAACACCACCGUGUAAGAAAUAGAUAUUCAGGCAGUGUCGGGUUAGAUUGCAGAGCUCUUCGCUACACCCUGUCACUUACGCCAAGGGCUUGGUGAUAUUUAUAACGGCUCCAUGGGCAUUUUGAUCAAUACCUGCAACUGUACGCGUCAGGUUUCUAAAGGAUGCCUUGUGUCUUAAGUUCCCGCAGAUAAAGAUGUGAGAACCAGUUUGGCUAAAGUGGAGAGGGGUGGACUUGGGCCUAGCUCAAAUCUCUGUCCAGCAGUGAAGCCUCCUGAGGUAAAGCAGGCUGCAAGGUGGCGACUAGUCCUAUCCUUCUUCCUAGGGUGAUUGUGAAGACAGUAGCAAGGGGAAAUACGUGUUGCAGAUGCAAAAUAUGUCAACAAAAGUCAGCCUGGCACUUUCAAGGGUUUAAAAUUCAAAUUUCUUUGGGGCUGAUUGCUGUUGACUUUGUAAGGGCUAUAGAGAUGUUGCAAUACUGCUGGAAUGGGAAACUAGUGAAAAUACGGGCCUGGUUUGGGUGGGUGAGACUUUGAAUCUUAAGCAGAUUAUACAGUGGCAGGCAAUGAAAGGUUUUAUUUCAUCCUGUAAAUUAGUCUGGAACCUCUCUCCACGCCCUGGUAUAAUUUUUAGUUUUCCCUCCCACAGUUUAGUGACUUUAGCUACAGUUGCAUGCCCUACACCUCUGCUUCGUUGCUUUCACUGCUAUCUGUUCUGUAAUUUAUUUAUUUCUCAAAUUUAUAUCCCGCCCUUCCUCCCCAAAGGAGCCCAGGGUGGCAAACUACAAGCGAUGAAGCAUCUUAAAAAUGAUGCAGAAACUUACCGGAAAAAUAAUAAAUCAAGAUAACAAACUUUUGAUAAAAGAAUGGAAAUGGUUUGUUGAAUAUUUGCAAACAAACUGUAAACAGAUAAGAACAUUGGCAGGAUUAUUGUAAUAACCUGCACUUUUUAUAAGAGUAUGUAUUUAAAUUAGAUGAAUAAGUGAUUAAGUUAAUUUGGAAUAAGCAGAAAAUAAAAAAUAAUAAUUAAGGAACCUCAGAAAGAGAGGGAAGGAAGUCAAGUUUCGAAAUGUUAAAAUGAUUGUAAAAUUAUUUAAAUGUAUAAAAUUG
rnacentral:lncRNA from 1 species